rnacentral:rRNA from 1 species
UGGGGAAUAUUGCACAAUGGGCGGAAGCCUGAUGCAGCGACGCCGCGUGGGGGAUGAAGGCCUUCGGGUUGUAAACUCCUUUCGACAGGGACGAAGCUUUUGUGACGGUACCUGUAUAAGAAGCACCGGCUAACUACGUGCCAGCAGCCGCGGUAAUACGUAGGGUGCGAGCGUUGUCCGGAAUUACUGGGCGUAAAGAGCUCGUAGGUGGUUUGUCGCGUCGUCUGUGAAAUUCCGGGGCUUAACUCCGGGCGUGCAGGCGAUACGGGCUGAAUAGAGUGCUGUAGGGGAGACUGGAAUACCAGGUGUAGCGGUGAAAUGCGGAGAUAUCAGGAGGAACACCGAUGGCGAAGGCAGGUCUCUGGGCAGUAACUGACGCUGGGGAGCGAAAGCAUGGGUAGCGAACAGG